rnacentral:piRNA from 1 species
UGCAUGACGACAGGUCGGUGGUCUGA